rnacentral:sRNA from 1 species
AUUCGCUGUGUGACUCAGGGCAAGUGUGCGCACCUCUCUGAGCCUCCGCGGCCUUCUCUAGCAAAAUGGUGGAGCCGGUACCCGGCUGUAAGGCAAGCUGGGAUGCGCGGAGUAGCGGGUGGAAAGCUGGACUGGAGUUCUCACUCGGCCGCUGGGUGACUUCGGUGCACUAGGGAUAGUAACAGUACCACCUCGUAGGGUUGUAGAAAGACCAAGUGAGUUAAUAUUUGUAAAGUGUUUAGAACAGCGUCUACUGCAUGGAAAGUAGUAUUUAUUUGUUAGAGAGACUCCAGGAGGUCUUGCCCAGUGAUUGACUUCUCCCUUCCCUGUCUCCACCCCCCACAUUCCCGUUUGUGAGCCAAGCCUUGCUUUUGCACCGGCCGGGCUCUCUUGCCUGGAAAUGCAUACCCAUCUCAAACCUGGGCUUUAAAAUCACCUCCUCUGGGACGCCUUCCUCUACUUCUCACAGUUUAGGCCUGUUCUGCCCCACACAGCAGAAAAUGCCCACGAUGCAAUACCAGAGUCUGCAUGGGACCAUUUCAACAACCCUUAGAAGCUGACUCAGCUGUCUCCUGGCCCUGACUUUUCUAAGAUGAGAGGAGCUGAUAGGAACAAUUUGGGAACCCUCAAAGGCUGAGAGUAUCCCACCCACUUCACAGAUGAAGCAAACUGAGGCCCAGAGAAGGGAAAUUACUUGCCCAAGAUCACCCAGCAAGUAAGAAACAGAGCUGGAGAUGAGCUCAGGCCAGCACGGAACCACGCAAACUCCUUCUGUAGGCUUUAUAAAGGGUUGAUGAGAAAAGCAGAUGGUUAAGAGCUCUACAACUUCUGUGAGGUAAAGAAUAUCUUCAGGGCUGGACGUGGCGGCUCUUGCCUGUAAUCUUAGCACUUUGGGAGGCCAAAGUGGGUGGAUUGCUUGAGUCUAUGAGUUCAAGACCAGCCUGGGCAACAUGGUAAAACUCUGUCUCUCUAAAAAAAAAAAAAAAAAAAAUUAGCUGAGUGUGGUGUUGUGUGCUUGUAGUCCCAGCUACUUUGGAGGCUGAAGCGGAAGGAUCCCUUGGCCCAGGAGGCAGAGGUUGCAGUGAGCUGAGAUUGUGCCACUGCACUUCAGCUUGGGUGACAGAGCCAGACCUUAUUUAAAAAAAAAAAAGGAUAUCUGUGAUUACAAGAUUACAAUGCAAUUUUGAAAGCCUGCUGUUGCCCAGCUGGACAGCUAGAGUUAUUCUCAGUGGUGGGAUGGCUGAACUGGGGGCCCACUGUGGAGAGCUGGUUUCCCACUGGAGUUCUCUGAAAAGGUGCCUGAUUUCACAGCUCUGAUUCUACAGAAGGAGGCCGGGCCCUUCACGUAAUUGCUACCCUUUAUUUAUGGAGCUAUUCCUCUGUCGGGAUGCCCUUUAUAUGUGUACAGUCUGUGCUGCAGUCGAUUCUUAUAGUGAUUCUAUGCAGAAGGUGCUUUAGAGGAGGCUGCUGGGGCGCAGGGUGGGUAGGUACCUUGUCAGCAUGGUGGGGCUGGGUCUCCAGCUGGUUGGGACCCCACCCUCCUAUCAUGGCCCAGGAGUGAGGCAUUCAGGGCUGGACCACCAGCGUUUGUGAAGCUUUGUGCCCCAUUAUCCCAUCAGAACAUCUUCUUGGCCCUGGCAGGCAGCCAGGGCAGGGCCAUUCUCCACCUUACUGACAAAGAAGCCCAGGGAGGGGAAGAGGGUGCUCCCCCAGCACCUCCAUUGCCUCUGCCUGCUUAGUCCAGAAUGCAGGAUAGAGAAAUAAUGGGAAAAGCUCCCAAGUGUUGCUGGAUCUCUGCCUGCCAGGGAAGCUGUGACCUCAGUAAGGGCAGGGUGUUCCUUCCAGGGAACUCGAGGUGGGGCAGGAUGGGUAGGGAGUGAGAUCAGAGGGAAGGCCAUGUUGGGAAGAUGGGAAGGCAAGUCUCUGGGGGUUUGUGGGAUAGAGGAAGGGAACAUCAUAGAACAGGCCAGGAAUAGGAGCUUGACCUGGAGAUUACUUUGCAGCAGGUUUAAACAGGGGCCAUGUGAGAGUGUGGAGCCCUGGGGUCAGAGGUUACUGGAUGCAAAUUAUGACUCUGCCACUUAUGGGAAUGGUGAGUUUGGACAAAUGAUUUCCCUGGGCCUCAGGGUCUUCAUGUAUAAAAGGGCUGAAGCUCAGUGGGUAACUGGAGCACUGCCUGGGUUAGAUCCUGGCUCCACCCCUUACCAGUGUGACCUAGGGUGAAUGAGUUCACCUCUCUGGGCAUCAGUGUCCUUGUCUCUAAGAUGGACUUGAUAAUAAUGAAAGCUACCCCUCACAGGGCUGUGGUGAGGAUGAAGGGGUCUGGCAGCACAUGUAGAAUUCUUAGAGCAGGCUUUUUUCCUGCAGAGUCUUUGUUGCUAUCAUCAUCAUCAUCAUCAUCAUCAUCCUCAUCCUCAUCAUCAUCUACCUCCAGGGAUUCUUGGGGGGCUUAAACAAGGCAGGUUGUACAAAUUAUCUGGCACAGACGUCAUUAAAUAAUAACAGGGCAGAGUGACGGGUGCUGUGAUACAGGGAAGUGCUGGGAGAGACACAGGAAAGAGAAAAGACUUCUGUCUGGCUGGGUGGAAGAAGGGUGUGGAAGGUAUGGAAGCCAAGGGAAAACUUCCCCUUUGCCCUCUGAAGGUUCACUGAAAAGUCAGCUGACAAAAGGCAGAUGAAUAGCAGAAAUGGCAUGCAAAUUUAUUAAUGCGCACACAGGGAGAACCACAGAGUGAUUGAUUACUCCUCACUCUGCAAUGGGGUGCAGAAGCUUAUAUGCCAUCUUGAGGUUACAGAAAGAAUGGGGGCUUGGGGCCUGAGCGCAGUGGCUCAUGCCUGUAUUCCCACCACUUUGGGAGGCCAAGGUGGGUGGAUCACCUGAGGUCAGGAGUUUGAGACCACCCUGACCAACAUGAAACCCCGUCUCUACUAAAAAUACAAAAAAUUAGCCGGGUGUUGUGGUGCGCACCUGUAAUUCCAGCUACUCGGGAGGCUGAGGCAGGAGAAUCACUUGAACCAGGGAUGCUGAGGUUGCAUGAGCUGAGAUCGCACUGCUGCCCUCCAGCCUGGGCAAAAAGAGC